GGGUCAGUAGGUUGGUCGUGCCACCGGUACGUAGUGGUCUCACUGAUUCCUCCUUCCUGAAGAACCGUAAUGCCAUUAAUUUGGUGUUGCGGGGAAACAGGACUGUUACUUUGAAAAAAUUAGAGUUUUUAAAGCAAGCUAACGCUUGAAUACAUUAGCAUGGAAUAAUGAAAUAGGACGAUCGAUCCUAUUUUGUUGGUUUCUAGGAUUGACGUA
rnacentral:rRNA from 1 species